rnacentral:rRNA from 1 species
UACGUAGGGUGCGAGCGUUGUCCGGAAUUAUUGGGCGUAAAGAGCUCGUAGGCGGUUUGUCACGUCUGCUGUGAAAUCCCGAGGCUCAACCUCGGGCCUGCAGUGGGUACGGGCAGACUGGAGUGCGGUAGGGGAGAAUGGAAUUCCUGGUGUAGCGGUGGAAUGCGCAGAUAUCAGGAGGAACACCGAUGGCGAAGGCAGUUCUCUGGGCCGUAACUGACGCUGAGGAGCGAAAGCCAGGGGAGCGAACGGG